rnacentral:rRNA from 1 species
GUGCCAGCAGCCGCGGUAAUUCCAGCUCCAAUAGCGUAUAUUAAAGUUGUUGUGGUUAAAAAGCUCGUAGUUGAACCUUGGGCCUGGCUGGCCGGUCCGCCUCACCGCGUGCACUGGUCCGGCCGGGCCUUUCCCUCUGUGGAACCCCAUACCCUUCACUGGGCGUGGCGGGGAAACAGGACAUUUACUUUGAAAAAAUUAGAGUGCUCCAGGCAGGCCUAUGCUCGAAUACAUUAGCAUGGAAUAAUAAAAUAGGACGCGCGGUUCUAUUUUGUUGGUUUAUAGGACCGCCGUAAUAAUUAAUAGGGACAGUCGGGGGCAUCAGUAUUCAACUGUCAGAGGUGAAAUUCUUGGAUCAGUUGAAGACUAACUACUGCGAAAGCAUUUGCCAAGGAUGUUUUCAUUAAUCAGGAACGAAAGUUAGGGGAUCGAAGACGAUCAGAUACCGUCGUAGUCUUAACCAUAAACUAUGCCGACUAGGGAUCGGACGGUGUUAUUCAUGACCCGUUCGGCACCUUACGAGAAAUCAAAGUGCUUGGGCUCCAGGGGGAGUAUGGGUCGCAAGGCUGAAACUUAAAGAAAUUGACGGAAGGGCACCACCAGGGUGGAGCCUGCGGCUUAAUUUGACUCAACACGGGGAAACUCACCAGGUCCAGACACAAUAAGGAUUGACAGAUUGAGAGCUCUUUUCUUGAUUUUGUGGUGGUGGUGCAUGGCCGUUCUUAGUUGGUGGGGUGACUUGUCUGCUUAAUUGCGAUAACGAACGAGACCUUAACUGCUAAAUAGCCCGCAUUUGCUCCGGGCAGUGCGCUGGGCUUCUUUAGGAAGGGACUUUC